GCCCGGGUAGCUCAAUCGGUAGAGCGUGUGGCUCUUAUGAAAUCACUCUCGGAAAUUCAAUUAAAAACCUCAAGGUCGUGGGUUCGAGCCCCACCUCGGGCU